UGGGGAAUUUUGGACAAUGGGCGCAAGCCUGAUCCAGCAAUGCCGCGUGCAGGAUGAAGGCCUUCGGGUUGUAAACUGCUUUUGUACGGAGCGAAAAGGUCUGCCCUAAUACGGUGGGCUCAUGACGGUACCGUAAGAAUAAGCACCGGCUAACUACGUGCCAGCAGCCGCGGUAAUACGUAGGGUGCAAGCGUUAAUCGGAAUUACUGGGCGUAAAGCGUGCGCAGGCGGUUUUGUAAGUCUGAUGUGAAAUCCCCGGGCUCAACCUGGGAAUUGCAUUGGAGACUGCAAGGCUAGAAUCUGGCAGAGGGGGAUGGAAUUCCGCGUGUAGCAGUGGAAUGCGUAGAUAUGCGGAGGAACACCGAUGGCGAAGGCAAUCCCCUGGGCCUGUACUGACGCUCAUGCACGAAAGCGUGGGGAGCAAACA
rnacentral:rRNA from 1 species